UAACCAUUAUCGUGAGGUAAUGCUGAACGUACAGAAGUCAGCCGAGGUCAUAGUAGCCGAGAGGCGAAGGAC
rfam:Clostridium asparagiforme DSM 15981 genomic scaffold Scfld4, whole genome shotgun sequence.